rnacentral:sRNA from 1 species
ACAGCUACAACCGCACAGAACAAGUUUUAAGAACGAAAGUCACUUGGGAUGGCGAGUCUAAGUCUAA